rnacentral:rRNA from 1 species
GUCCUAGCUGUAAACGAUGGAUACUAGAUGUUGUGUAAAAGCAGUGUCGUAGCUAACGCGUUAAGUAUCCCGCCUGGGGAAGUACGCUCGCAAAGAGUGAAACUCAAAGGAAUUGACGGGGGCCCGCACAAGCGGUGGAGCAUGUGGUUUAAUUCGAUGCAACACGAAGAACCUUACCAGGACUUGACAUGAAGAGAAGUUUUCCCAAAAGAAAAUGUGCUACGGCCUCUUACACAGGUGGUGCAUGGCUGUCGU